rnacentral:misc_RNA from 1 species
CCGUAACAUGACUGAUCCUGAGACCGAGAAGGAUCGCCAAUUGCAGGUUGAUGUAAUAGAAUUCUUGUCUCAAUCCAAGCACUGGCAGAGGUCUGGAGGCAGAGACCAUGUGAUUCCCAUGACACAUCCUAAUGCCUUUAGAUUUCUCCGACAACAGUUGAAUGCGUCUAUUCUUAUUGUUGCAGAUUUUGGCCGCUAUCCUAAAUCCAUGUCAACUCUGUGGAAAGAUGUGGUGGCCCCAUAUGUACAUGUUGUUGACUUUUUUACAGAUGAUGAAAUUUCAGAUCCAUUUGAAUCUCGAACCACACUUCUUUUCUUCCGCGGGGGUAUGGUUAGGAAAGAUGAAGGCAAAGUCCGAGCUGAACUGGCAAAGAUAUUAGCUGGUUAUGAUGAUGUUCAUUUUGAGCAAAGCACACCAACACCACGGACAAUAAAAAUGUCAACGCAAGGAAUGCGUUCAUCAAAGUUCUGUCUACAUCCUGCAGGAGACACUCCAUCUUCUUGUCGUCUUUUUGAUGCUAUUGUAAGCCAUUGUGUUCCUGUCAUUGUUAGUGAUCAAAUUGAGCUCCCUUUUGAGGAUGAAAUUGAUUAUAGCCAAUUCUCAAUUUUCUUCUCUGUAAAUGAGGCAAUUCAACCUGGAUACAUGGUUGAUCAACUACGGCAAUUUUCAAAGGAGAGAUGGGUUAAAAUGUGGAGACAGCUUAAGAACAUCUCCCAUCACUUCGAAUUCCAGUACCCACCUAAGAAGGAGGACGCAGUUGACAUGCUGUGGAGACAGGUAAAGCAUAAGCUUCCUAGCGUCCAACUUUCUGUACAUAGAAGCGGGAGAUUGAAGGUUCCAGACUGGUGGCAGAGGACAAGAUGAUUCUGAAGCUUCCUUAUGUAUUGUACAUUCAUGAUUUUUUCCAACACUUAUAACAAAAACCCUUUCGCUGGAAUUAUCGGACUUGCAAACACCAC